AGAGAAACAAGGAAAGACAGAAGCACAGAAAUUUAUAUUGCUGCAAUGACAAUUUACAAGCUAGUGGAGAAGCCCAUCACUGUGCCUCUAGGAGGAUCAUACAUGUUGGGAAGAAGAGGGCUGGAGGCUGGGCCAUCAAAACCUGAAGAUGGACAGCCUUUCCUUGGAAGAACAGUCCCAGAACAGUCUUCACACAAUGUUCCUCAGUCUCAAGGUGACUUCUGAGGGAUAGGUAAGCAGUAAGGACUGAUGAUAUACACUCAGACCAUCCGGCCUUCCUCGAAGAAGCAGAGAUAAGCUAGAAUGAAUGCAGACCAACUGACCUGCCCUAAAGACACCACAAUCUGUUGAUCUGCCUGCCAGUUGCGUAUUACACUCAGAUUUUCAGCUUUUGUGAGGCAUUA